AGGGAACUGUGGUUCUUCUUUAAACAAACCAUAUACAUUUGAUUUCACUUUUGAUGAAACUGCAGAGGUUUUCAAACUCACUAUAGAUUCUGUGGAUUCUUCUCAUGCUGAACUUUUAUUUGCUUGCGACGAUGGAAAUGUGAGAAAAACAAUUUCUUUCAAUGUGACAACAGGUAAAGGACAAAACCGUAAUUCUACCCCAAUAAACAAUCAGACAACAGGUAUCGGAACAAAACUUACAACUGUUCAUUCUAGCAUUUCUUCAGUGUCAAUCCUACUAAAAUCAACACUUGUCACCCCUGUGUCGAAAACAGACAAGCAAUCAAUUGCCUCUUAUUUUGUACUGUUUAUUGCUUUGGCUGUUGAUGUUUUAAUAUUUUCUAUGGUUAUGCUGUUUUAUUGAUUUUCCUU